UGAGGAAUAUUGGUCAAUGGGCGAGAGCCUGAACCAGCCAAGUAGCGUGCAGGAUGACGGCCCUAUGGGUUGUAAACUGCUUUUAUGUGGGGAUAAAGUGCGUGACGUGUCAUGCAUUGCAGGUACCACAUGAAUAAGGACCGGCUGAUUCCGUGCCAGCAGCCGCGGUAAUACGGAAGGUCCGGGCGUUAUCCGGAUUUAUUGGGUUUAAAGGGAGCGUAGGCUGUCUAUUAAGCGUGUUGUGAAAUUUACCGGCUCAACCGGUGGCUUGCAGCGCGAACUGGUCGACUUGAGUAUGCAGGAAGUAGGCGGAAUUCAUGGUGUAGCGGUGAAAUGCUUAGAUAUCAUGACGAACUCCGAUUGCGCAGGCAGCUUACUGUAGCAUAACUGACGCUGAUGCUCGAAAGUGCGGGUAUCAAACAGG
rnacentral:rRNA from 1 species